rnacentral:rRNA from 3 species
UGGGGAAUAUUGCACAAUGGGGGAAACCCUGAUGCAGCGACGCCGCGUGAGCGAUGAAGUAUUUCGGUAUGUAAAGCUCUAUCAGCAGGGAAGAAAAUGACGGUACCUGACUAAGAAGCCCCGGCUAACUACGUGCCAGCAGCCGCGGUAAUACGUAGGGGGCAAGCGUUAUCCGGAUUUACUGGGUGUAAAGGGAGCGUAGACGGCAUGGCAAGCCAGAUGUGAAAGCCCGGGGCUCAACCCCGGGACUGCAUUUGGAACUGUCAGGCUAGAGUGUCGGAGAGGAAAGCGGAAUUCCUAGUGUAGCGGUGAAAUGCGUAGAUAUUAGGAGGAACACCAGUGGCGAAGGCGGCUUUCUGGACGAUGACUGACGUUGAGGCUCGAAAGCGUGGGGAGCAAACA